rnacentral:rRNA from 1 species
UGAGUAACACGUAUCCAACCUGCCGUCUACUCUUGGACAGCCUUCUGAAAGGAAGAUUAAUACAAGAUGGCAUCAUGAGUCCACAUGUUCACAUGAUUAAAGGUAUUCCGGUAGACGAUGGGGAUGCGUUCCAUUAGAUAGUAGGCGGGGUAACGGCCCACCUAGUCUUCGAUGGACAGGGGUUCUGAGAGGAAGGUCCCCCACAUUGGAACUGAGACACGGUCCAA